rnacentral:rRNA from 1 species
ACGUACUUGUACUGAUUGAGAUUUUAACACGAAGUGAGUGGCGAACGGGUGAGUAACACGUGGGUAACCUGCCCAGAAGUAGGGGAUAACACCUGGAAACAGAUGCUAAUACCGUAUAACAGAGAAAACCGCAUGGUUUUCUUUUAAAAGAUGGCUCUGCUAUCACUUCUGGAUGGACCCGCGGCGUAUUAGCUAGUUGGUGAGGUAAAGGCUCACCAAGGCAGUGAUACGUAGCCGACCUGAGAGGGUAAUCGGCCACAUUGGGACUGAGACACGGCCCAGACUCCUACGGGAGGCAGCAGUAGGGAAUCUUCCACAAUGGACGCAAGUCUGAUGGAGCAACGCCGCGUGAGUGAAGAAGGGUUUCGGCUCGUAAAGCUCUGUUGUUAAAGAAGAACGUGGGUAAGAGUAACUGUUUACCCAGUGACGGUAUUUAACCAGAAAGCCACGGCUAACUACGUGCCAGCAGCCGCGGUAAUACGUAGGUGGCAAGCGUUAU